rnacentral:rRNA from 1 species
AUGCGACAUUUCCUAGGAGCCAAACUUCAACGGCCCAAGCAAGUUUUCCUUUGCCAUGAUCACGGUUGGCAAAUCUUCGUUGUCAGAGAGCAGCUGGUACAUGGCCGUGCUGUGCCAGUGCGUACGACGGUCGCGCAUGCACGCCGCAGUCGAUGCGGUACGCGCCGGAGAGGGACAUGGGUAGAUGGAUCGAUCCACCGGUCGGUGGAAUGGAAUGCCCGGGCGAUCGAUCCAUCAUUUCGGGUCACAAGCACGCGCCCCUGCCGGCAAGAGGCCUUGGGCUCCAUGAUUCAGGUGCCUGGCUGGAUUCAGCUUUGGCGCUGCCCCGAUCUGUCGGUAACCGUGCGCUGCGUGCCUACCCGCUGCUGCUCCACUACAACUUGUUCUGUGGCGUGGCGUGGCUCUUUCUAG